UUCACUACAAUGAAAGCCGCUGCAAUCAGCAUUCGCGUAGAAUAACAUCAAGUGAAAGGAGCAAACUACCGACUCCGUUUCAACUUUAUUUAUUUAUUUAUUCAUUCAUUUAUUUCUUUAUUUAUUUAUUUAUUUAUUUAUUUAUUUAUAUUUUUCCUCUCCCCUCGUUCAUUUUUCUGAAAUUCUUCGACGGCUCCAUACUCGGCGACUUACCGCACUCCGUUAAAGGGAUGCGAAGGAAAGUGGCGGUGAAUCAACCGUACGUCAAAAUGGGCUUACCGCAUAGCCCUGGUAUAUCUGAUCCCUGGGCAAAUACACAUAAGAAAGAUUUGUUACGGCUCAGAACUCCGAUAUAAUUCUAUCCGAAUCGCAUCGUCUGGAUCAUACUCGAGAAAAUAAGUAGACUGAACUUGCGUACAGUACACGUAUACCUGUACGCGUAUCGUAGCUAAAUAAUCCAUACGCGUAUCUCUCGCCGCUUACAUAUUCUGCUGCAGCGCGGUAUGUAUAAUAUUCCAGCUUACCUAAAUGGUCAUGUAAACUUCAUCGUCACCUACCGGCGUAUUUAGAACCCGGUGACGUUUAACAUAGCGCACCUUCCGCGAUACCCUUAUACGAAUUCAAGAUUUUCUACGAACGAACUGCACAGGUGUGCACAAAGGAUUUGUCAUACCGUGUGCACGUAUGUUUUUGGUCAUCGUCAUCAUGCGUCCGCCGGUGCGCGAAUAGUCGCGUCGUCGCGCAACGAAAAUGAAUGGUUCUUCGUAACCAAGUUGGAAAUGAUCGAUAGAUGUUAUUCGAGUAAAAUUAUCGGUGAGGUACGACGUCUCGUUCGGCGAGGCGCCAUUAGUUGAAAUAGCGCAUGCACAGGGGUAACCGAGAAGACAGAGAAUCGCACCCGCGUCACACGCGCGUCGUACUUCGUAAUGAUAAUAAAUUGUAAUCUGCGUAUAUCCAGUAUGCAAAUCCAGCCGGAGAGCCGUAGCUCGUCGAGCGGAUGGUAGAAACCGAUCGGCUCGGACGUUCGAGAAGCUUCGGAGUUUAUACCGCGUGUAAGACGGGUGCAAACUCGAACGCCGUGGAAAAACUGAGGGGGAAACAAAGAGACGAGGAGACAAUGCCACCGACUCCCGGCUAUAGUUCCACGGUGGGGUACUACUUAUUCUCGUUAAACAAGAAAAUAUAUAUUUCGCUAAACGUAAUAAUGCCCUCGGCGUCGCGCUAUCGACCCCGCCACGCGUUAAUUACCAUAAAACAGCCUCUAAUCAUUGUAAAAUACCGUUGGACGACAUCAGUUGCCGUACUCGCAAGGUGCGCCGAAGCUACCGGGGCGGCGGCUAUUGUCCUACCGAGACCGACCAGAAGUGGGGUAAUAACGAUACGGAUUUCGGAUCGAAGCAUUCUUUUUUUCUCCAUUUUCCAUUUUCUGUCCAUACGAAUGCGGAAAAGUCCGGAUCUCCAAAAGACGUGGGAAUCGAAUCCGCGGUACGGCGCGAAGAUCUCACCGCGGGGAAAGACAACCCGAUGGUACGCGUACACGUAUACAUAUACAUAUAUAUUUCUCGGUAAAAAUAUCAAGAGUUGCACCACAUCCCCGUAGACAUCAUAGCGGUGGGUCGUUGGCCCGUCGAGCACGUCGGUUAUGCCCUCUUCUCUGUAUACCUACUAAACGGCGAGUUGUUGGAUCCAUUAGCGCAGUCCUAUAAGGAUGGAAUCCCGCAACGAUUCUCCGAGUACUAAAGGAUGAACGUACCAGUUUACUCGUCUCGGGAAUUGGUCAUUCGAGGUUGAAAUUGAGACCGCGUAAGCGAUGCCGAUACCGGACCAUCAUCGGAUCUGCCGGAAGCGUAAGUGACUAAUUCAGAGAUAGUCAGAAACAAUUACGACGUCCCAUUAGAUAGAGGAAAGUGCGCCGAGUUCGCGACUCCAAUAAGUGCACGGAUUACACGCCGUGGUAACAAAAGUUAGGGAGAUCUUCUAAGGGGAAUAUAAUGAUACUUUUAUCGGCUUAUCUAUCGGCGAAUGAGAGUUACCCUAAUGCGUGUAGAUUUUACCGCAAAUGGUUUCUCGCCGAAUGAUCUCUCAUUGUCAGCGUUGUUCGCUAAGACCGUGAGUCAGCGUUUGGAAAAUUGAGGAGGAAUGAAAAUAGAGGUGGUCCAAAUUGACGACGAAUGUAUUCGUAGCGAAAAUUUCUCCGUUACCCUCGAGAGUUGUUUGAGAGUAAAACGAUGAUCUCUGAUAAAACUGUAAAAAAACCUUCCAUUUCACAGUUACGUAACAACGUCCAUAUUAGUUUUACGUAACGGGUGAACGACAUCAAUCAGAACUGUGUCAGCGUUGACAGCUGUUCGAACACGUACGUACCUAUAUGUAUACGUAAAUCGAAAGGCGAUUAAAAAAAAUAUAUAAAUAAGAUAAACGAAAGAGGGUGUAAUUAGUUGUCUCUCCUCGUCUCUCUCUCUCUCCCUUUCUCGCAUAAAUAUUGUUUCACCAUAUAAUCGGUAUUUAUCAACCGCAAUCACACGCGGCGCUAACGACAAAAUUAUUAACUGCAACUGUACGUGUAAUAUGGUUACCCAACGAGUUUAAUUGCUCGAACGAAAGUCUUGGCGAUCAACGACCCAGUUCCUAGCGUUGAUCUUUGCUCCGUUGAACAGCGGGGUAUCUCGUCACCUCGCGGUGUCAGAGAUGCGCCUCUAUGGUAUAACCAUUUUCGGUAUCAACCGUACGUCAUAUCUGCCACAUCCUGCGCCUGUAUAAGUGAAUAUAGAAGGCACGUGUGCCGCACAUACGCCGGAUGGGUUUAUAAAGGUGGUUCGAGAAUCCCUCUGAUCUGGAACGCGAUCUCCUCUGGUUUUAUCAUCAGCGUACGACUCUCUCUUGUCGUCGUCGUACGUACCGCUCUUCUGUAUACCUAUACGUACGUACGUACGUACGUACGGCAAAGGUAUAUAUGUAUAAAGGUAGAAAAAGUAUCGGAGUGAAGAACGUCGGCACGAGUGAAUGUCAGCGGGGAUGGACUGGCGGACUGACGAACGAACGCGAGGUUUGCGUCAUCGCAACACUAAAUUCAUCCCGAGUAACGAGACGCCGAGACGAAUUGAACGAAAGUGAUCGAGCGGUCACGGGGUGACAACCGGCGAGCGAACCGCGAGAUCCUGCGGACGUGUAUACGUAUACUCCCGCCGAUGCAGGCUCCACGGGUUAACCGGAGCCUACGUCUUUAAUUCAAAUGAAAUCUCACGAUACCCGCCUCGAGAUGAAACCUUUCCGAAGAUAAAUGACACGCAUGCCAACGCUCCGCUCGUGAUCCGUGCUCCGCGAUAUCGUAUACACUUUUUACCUUCGUAAUUGUUCGAGGCGAUAAAGUACGAUUAUGAUGCAUCGGCGUUGCCUAAUGGAUGUCUUGCUCGGACGACUUGCGCGUUUGAAAACAAAAAAUAAAA